GAUGAACGCUGGCGGCGUGCUUAACACAUGCAAGUCGAACGAUGAAGCUGGAGCUUGCUCUGGUGGAUUAGUGGCGAACGGGUGAGUAACACGUGAGCAACCUGCCCCUGACUCUGGGAUAACAGCCGGAAACGGCUGCUAAUACCGGAUAUGCACCAUGAACGCAUGUUCUGUGGUGGGAAAGAUUUUUCGUUUGGGGAUGGGCUCGCGGCCUAUCAGCUUGUUGGUGAGUUAAUGGCUCACCAAGGCGUCGACGGGUAGCCGGCCUGAGAGGGUGACCGGCCACACUGGGACUGAGACACGGACCAGAAUCCUACGGGAGGCAGCAGUGGGGAAUAUUGCACAAUGGGCGAAAGCCUGAUGCAGCAACGCCGCGUGAGGGAUGACGGCCUUCGGGUUGUAAACAUCUUUUAGCAGGGAAGAAGCGAGAGUGACGGUACCUGCAGAAAAAGCGCCGGCUAACUACGUG
rnacentral:rRNA from 1 species